UUUAAAGGCGAGUCAGUUACUAUUAAUUUAGAACUCGGUUAGUAUAAUUGAGCGCACCUAUAAAUUCUAUUAUCUAUGAUCGUAGGUAUAGAAAGAAUUUUCAUCUAUGGAUCUUCCGGCUUUACCCUUUGUAGAUCUAUUAUCUAAGGCACUGGAGAGCGUUGUUUGAGGCGAAGAAAAUUCGCCAUUUUUGCUGUCCAGAAAUACAAACUACGCCUGAAGACUUGCUGUGAGGUAGCAUUCGUGUAUUAGAUGGACAAACUACUUAUGGUCUAAUGUUUGCGGCAGUGAGACCUAUUUCUUUUUUCAUUAGACACAGGAUGACAGUUAUUAUUAAUAAUAAUGAAUUAAUAUGGACAGGGCAAAUCAAAAGGGGGGGAAUGUGAAAAGCGGAGCCCCUCUUGAAAGGUUGUCAUUUAAACAAAUUCAAUGAGCAUUGAUAUGACAAACAAGGACUCCAAACCUGAAGAAGUGUAACACCAUUAGCACUCCCUCCUUUGGACUUAGGGCUGUUUGUGGAAGAGGUAUUGCAGUUUUUCAGAAAAUACUACAUGCUUCAUUUCCUCAUCAGUGGUUUUUUCUUUUCAUAAGUGUCUACUGUUAGAGGCACUUUUCUGUUGUGAACGCUUAGGAAUAAAACUGAAGCAUCGUACAGUAACCCUCUAGGUACGCUUUUUUAAGUGUUAAUUGCUAAGUACAUGCAAUACUUGAUUGUCAUUUUAAUUUGCGAAAUGCUAAUAUUUUCACUUUCUUUAAGGUGUGUUUAAUUUUUUCCUUAGUUAAUAGUGGAAUUAACAUAGUUUUUCGUCAAUAGUAUAAGUUGAGGUUAUUGUGCAUGUAUAUCUCUCGACAAUUUCUAUUUUUCCACAGAGUAAACUGAAAUUUAUCAUUGAUCUAUGGAAUUUCUUUUUAACCUCUUCCAAUUGUCUGCAUCAUAAUGACGUCGUGUUAUUUGACAUUUAUCUAUGUCGUGAUCUAUGGUUGUGAUGCAAAAUGGUGUGAAAAUAACGCUUGUCACUUAAUAAUUUACUUGCUUUUUGGUGCGUUUAUAGUUAUUUUAAAUGUAUUUCUUAAUUGAUAGUGUAAUUAAUAUGU
rnacentral:lncRNA from 1 species